GCCGUUUAGGGGGUCACUGCAGACCCCAAACGACGUCGUUUUAAGCCCUAUAAAAUCCCAUCUUAAAACCCUAAAAAUCAAUCUCCUCUGCCAUUUCCAAUUGCGCCGUUGCCAUCUCUGCUCUCCAUCGCUCCACCUUCCUCUCGUUCCGAAGACAGAAUGAAAAGAUCCCCCAACGCUGCUCGCGGCAGUACGGGCAUUGUGCGAGGUGUGCUCAACGUGCGGGGCUAUUGAACUUGGGUGGUUGCUGCGCCAGGGGCGGUUGCUGCGACGUGGGGCGUGCGGCGCCAAACUGCUGCUUAGGGUUUCUGUACCUUUGGGCCAAUUGGGCCCUGUAAUUGGGUUAAGCUUGGCCCAAGUUUUAUUGGGUUUAAUUGCAUUUAAUUUGGGCUAUGCAAAUGAUUUUGGGUUGGUCUUAUUUUGAAUGGGCUAGACAAAAAUCGGCUAUUACAAUGUAGAAAUAUUGAAACUCAAACUCUCUUACGCUAUGCUUGUUUCACUGAAAAUGGCUUCUGAAAAAUGAGUUGUUUUUUAAGAAAAGUUAAUAUUUUCUGGUGUUUUGAUGAA